rnacentral:rRNA from 1 species
AAACCAACCGGGAUUGCCUUAGUAACGGCGAGUGAAGCGGCAAAAGCUCAAAUUUGAAAUCUGGCGUCUUCGACGUCCGAGUUGUAAUUUGAAGAAGGCGACUUUGUAGCUGGUCCUUGUCUAUGUUCCUUGGAACAGGACGUCAUAGAGGGUGAGAAUCCCGUGUGGCGAGGAUCCCAGUUAUUUGUAAAGUGCUUUCGACGAGUCGAGUUGUUUGGGAAUGCAGCUCUAAGUGGGUGGUAAAUUCCAUCUAAAGCUAAAUAUUGGCGAGAGACCGAUAGCGAACAAGUACAGUGAUGGAAAGAUGAAAAGAACUUUGAAAAGAGAGUGAAAAAGUACGUGAAAUUGUUGAAAGGGAAGGGCAUUUGAUCAGACAUGGCGUUUGCUUCGGCUUUCGCUGGGCCAGCAUCAGUUUUAGCGGUUGGAUAAAUCCUCGGGAAUGUGGCUCUGCUUCGGUAGAGUGUUAUAGCCCGUGGGAAUACAGCCAGCUGGGACUGAGGAUUGCGACUUUUGUCAAGGAUGCUGGCGUAAUGGUUAAAUGCCGCCCGUCUUGAAACACGGACCUCCUG